rnacentral:tRNA from 4 species
GGGCCCGUGGUCUAGCGGUUAUGACACCUCGCUUACACCGAGUUGAUCGUGGGUUCGAUUCCCACCGGGCCCACCA